rnacentral:rRNA from 1 species
UAGGGAAUCUUCGGCAAUGGGGGCAACCCUGACCGAGCAACGCCGCGUGAGUGAAGAAGGUUUUCGGAUCGUAAAGCUCUGUUGUAAGUCAAGAACGAGUGUGAGGGUGGAAAGUUCACACUGUGACGGUAGCUUACCAGAAAGGGACGGCUAACUACGUGCCAGCAGCCGCGGUAAUACGUAGGUCCCGAGCGUUGUCCGGAUUUAUUGGGCGUAAAGCGAGCGCAGGCGGUUUGAUAAGUCUGAAGUUAAAGGCUGUGGCUCAACCAUAGUUCGCUUUGGAAACUGUCAAACUUGAGUGCAGAAGGGGAGAGUGGAAUUCCAUGUGUAGCGGUGAAAUGCGUAGAUAUAUGGAGGAACACCGGUGGCGAAAGCGGCUCUCUGGUCUGUAACUGACGCUGAGGCUCGAAAGCGUGGGGAGCGAACAGGAUUAGAUACUCUGGUAGUCCACGCCGUAACGAUGAGUGCUAGGUGUUGGAUCCUUUCCGGGAUUCAGUGCCGCAGCUAACGCAUUAAGCACUCCGCCUGGGGAGUACGACCGCAAGGUUG